CUGCUACUUUACUUCACCAAGUGAUGAUGCUGGUCCCUCAGUGUUGGACUCCCCAUCCUCCAGAACUAUGAAGAAAUUGAAAUUACAGUGGAAAGCAAUACAAAACACAGAGACCCAAUAGUUAUUUUCAGCUCAUACUACCAUAAUUAUCUAAGUUCUAACUGGAAGACAAUUUCCAAAGUAACACGAAACUUGCUCAUCAAGUCUUGACAGAGAUUCAUGACCACAGAGCAGCAUCCGGCAUAGGACCUCCCUUUAGUUUGGUGGUACCAUGGGCUUCGGAAAUGCUUCCGUCAUCUGGAGGCUCUGCUGCAGAUCCAGGGCAAACCCUGCCCACAUUCUGCACUGCCGACCUCUGUGCUGCUCAGCGAUGCACAACUCUCAAACCCCGUGAGGUUGAACCUGGCAGACAAUAAAGUCAGAAUGAUUUCCA